UAACCCUGCCAUCAUCAUCAGUCUUCUUAAUAUCUCUCUGUCGUUGAUCCAUCGCCUCACUGUAUCGCUUUUGUCACUGAAUCAGUAACAAAAGACGGAAUCAUUGAUACCCAUUCUGGAGACUUCAUUUGCUGCAGGGUAGCACAUAGAGUGUUGUUCUUUUGAUCACCAAUUUUGUAAAUUUGUGCAAAGUAACAAAGGACGGAAUCAUUGAUACUAAUUUUGCCUUUGCUACAUUUCCGUCUAUUUUGGCAUGCGAACCAAGGAAACAGUGCACAAUUGGUUCGUCGUAACCCGCUGGUCCUAAAUCGACUUUGUUAUUCUUUGCUACACUUUACGCUUACGCUUCGGUCUAAUUUCUUAGCAUCGACACGCCAAAAUGGGUUGUGCGGUUCAACGAUUUACGUCUGCUUUUCGAUCGGU
rnacentral:lncRNA from 1 species